rnacentral:rRNA from 1 species
GACGAACGCUGGCGGCGUGCUUAACACAUGCAAGUCGAACGGAAAGGCCCUGCUUUUGUGGGGUGCUCGAGUGGCGAACGGGUGAGUAACACGUGAGUAACCUGCCCUUGACUUUGGGAUAACUUCAGGAAACUGGGGCUAAUACCGGAUAGGAGCUCCUGCUGCAUGGUGGGGGUUGGAAAGUUUCGGCGGUUGGGGAUGGACUCGCGGCUUAUCAGCUUGUUGGUGGGGUAGUGGCUUACCAAGGCUUUGACGGGUAGCCGGCCUGAGAGGGUGACCGGCCACAUUGGGACUGAGAUACGGCCCAGACUCCUACGGGAGGCAGCAGUGGGGAAUAUUGCACAAUGGGCGGAAGCCUGAUGCAGCAGCGCCGCGUGCGGGAUGAAGGCCUUCGGGUUGUAAACCGCUUUCGCCUGUGACGAAGAGUGAGUGACGGUAAUGGGUAAAGAAGCACCGGCUAACUACGUG